UACGUAGGUCCCGAGCGUUGUCCGGAUUUAUUGGGCGUAAAGCGAGCGCAGGUGGUUUAAUAAGUCUGAUGUAAAAGGCAGUGGCUCAACCAUUGUGUGCAUUGGAAACUGUUAGACUUGAGUGCAGUAGAGGAGAGUGGAAUUCCAUGUGUAGCGGUGAAAUGCGUAGAUAUAUGGAGGAACACCGGUGGCGAAAGCGGCUCUCUGGACUGUCACUGACACUGAGGCUCGAAAGCGUGGGUAGCAAACAGG
rnacentral:ncRNA from 4 species